CCUACGGGAGGCAGCAGUAGGGAAUCUUCCGCAAUGGACGAAAGUCUGACGGAGCAACGCCGCGUGAACGAUGAAGGCCUUCGGGUCGUAAAGUUCUGUUGUUAGGGAAGAACAAGUGCUAGUUGAAUAAGCUGGCACCUUGACGGUACCUAACCAGAAAGCCACGGCUAACUACGUGCCAGCAGCCGCGGUAAUACGUAGGUGGCAAGCGUUGUCCGGAAUUAUUGGGCGUAAAGCGCGCGCAGGCGGUUUCUUAAGUCUGAUGUGAAACGCCCCCGGCUCAACCGGGGAGGGUCAUUGGAAACUGGGAAACUUGAGUGCAGAAGAGGAAAGUGGAAUUCCAAGUGUAGCGGUGAAAUGCGUAGAGAUUUGGAGGAACACCAGUGGCGAAGGCGACUUUCUGGUCUGUAACUGACGCUGAGGCGCGAAAGCGUGGGGAGCAAACGAGGAUUAGAUACCCUGGUAGUCCACGCUGUAAACGAUGAGUGCUAAGUGUUAGAGGGUUUCCCGCCCUUUAGUGCUGAAGUUAACGCAUUAAGCACUCCGCCUGGGGAUACGGUCGCAGACUGAAACUCAAAUGAAUUGACGG
rnacentral:rRNA from 1 species